GCAGGACAGAGCGCAGCUGAUGCAGCCAUGCCGCGUGUGUGAUGAAGGUCUUCGGAUUGUAAAGCACUUUAAGUUGGGAGGAAGGGCAGUAAGUUAAUACCUUGCUGUUUUGACGUUACCAACAGAAUAAGCACCGGCUAACUUCGUGCCAGCAGCCGCGGUAAUAA
rnacentral:rRNA from 1 species